CAAAAAGCUUAAUUUCCAGAUAUAAUCAAAAAUUCAAAAAUGAGUCUUGACAUUUUAUUAAUUUAUAAUACUAACCAUUACAGUGCAAGGUUCAUUACAGAGUAGGUUGUGUGCAUGUUUUACAAUAACACUCUUAGCUUAUAAGGUCAGUGUCCCUGAUUAUGGAAGAGAAAUAAAAUUGCACCAGUUGAAGCGGCUCCCAGCACAAUAAUGGUUAAUUUGUUUUAUCUACAUUUCUCCCUCCUCCCAGAAUUUUUUUUUUAAAAUAAAUCAAGAAGCCCACAAUUUUACACUGUUUUACGCAAGCACACAUUUUUGCUUUUAUUAAAAUGCAUGUAAAAUUCCAACACACACAAAGAGAGAGAGGAAAAAAAAAAAAAAAGAGAAGUAUAUUUGCCCUCUAUAGGUACAGGGUUAUAAUUUGGUUUUCAGACGUUUUGUCACUCUGACCAGAAUUUUUUUUAAUCUAGAUGAGAACACGGAUGAAGUUCUCUUGCGGCAAAAUCAUGACGUUGUAGAAUUCAUAAAACUGUUGGUGUGCUAAAUAUACUUUUGCAGAAUAAAUAAGUUGUUACAAAGUAUCUUGUGGUCAGUUUGCCAGCUGUCGUUAUGAUGACAAUACAUUAGAAUGUAAGCCUGCAUGUUUCUCAUAACCCAUUAAGAAUGUUGUUGAUUAAAUUAUAUAUUGUCAGGAUUCUGCACAUUAGUUGAUAAAGGCAGAAUUUGUAGGUAUGCAUUAAUAUGUCACUGUUAACUAUUACUUUCUGCAUGUGCAUUAAUAAGACAAUGUGUGUUAGGGCAGCUUAUAAUAUAAAUAUUUAAAUUGUAGUCAGCCUGUUUUAAUAGUUUUUGGUAGACUAGAGGACUAGCAAGCUUGUAAAACCCGUACUCAGGAUCUCAACACUCCAACUUGCCCAUUGAGUUAUUUACCUGUGCUGCAAGUAAAGUGAAAAUGGGUGAAAACAUUUUUUUUGUAUGAAGUCAUAUUUCCAAGAGAGCUCACUUGGCAAAUUACCCUGACAGGAACUGCAGGCAACUGGAAAAUUAUAUCAAUACUUCAAGCAGUCUUCUCCACCUAUUGCCUGAUUCCAACCCCUGCCUGAGCUGUAAUUUUAGGACUUAAAGGGAUACCCCAACCACCACGUUAGCUUUUUGAAGUGGUCAUGGCGGUAGGAACCAGGAUGUGCAGGAUACUGUUUCAAGUUCCAUCCUUUAUUAGGAACCUAAUGUUAAUUCUAUGCACUAAACACAUCUGUCGUCAGCGAUCACUGCACGCUGCCGACAGACGUAACUGCUUCUCCCUUAAAAGCAGGGUCUGCAAGGGGAAGCUCUUGUUUGCCUUCCCUCCCACACUGAUUGUAGCCCUUCCUGCCUUCCCUCCUCCUCUUUUAUUCUUCAUCUUGUGGAUCCAGAGUGCAAGGAUGUGCUCUGAGCCCAUUAAAUCAUUCAAUCAAAAGCUUCUCUAUAAUAAGCCUUUGAUUGGACCUUGGCUUGGCCCCCGUGAUGUCAGCCAGGGGGAUUGGGAUGCGAUACGGUUACUGUGUUAUAUUUGGGUGAGAUACAGGGUAAAUAUAAUCAACGUGAGAUACAGAUAAUGUGUUACGGGGGAUACAGAGUUAAUAUAAUUAGGAUGAGGUAUCGAUACUGUGCUAGAUUGGGUUGAGAUAUGGUGUUAGUAUAAUUAGGAUGAGGUAUCGAUACUGUGCUAGACUGAGUUGAGAUAUGGUGUUAGUAUAAUUAGGAUAAGGUAUCGAUACUGUGCUAGACUGAGUUGAGAUAUGGUGUUAGUAUAAUUAGGAUAAGGUAUCGAUACUGUGCUAGAUUGGGUUGAGAUAUGGUGUUAGUAUAAUUAGGAUGAGGUAUCGAUACUGUGCUAGAUUGGGUUGAGAUAUGGUGUUAGUAUAAUUAGGAUGAGGUAUCGAUACUGUGCUAGAUUGGGUUGAGAUAUGGUGUUAGUAUAAUUAGGAUGAGGUGUCGAUACUGUGCUAGAUUGGGUUGAGAUAUGGUGUUAGUAUAAUUAGGAUGAGGUAUCGAUACUGUGCUAGAUUGGGUUGAGAUAUGGUGUUAGUAUAAUUAGGAUGAGGUAUCGAUACUGUGCCAGAUUGGGUUGAGAUAUGGUGUUAGUAUAAUUAGGGUGAGGUAUCAAUAUUGUGCUAGAUUGGGUUGAGAUACGGUGUUAGUAUAAUUAUGAGAAAGCAUUGGAUUCCUGACCCUAUAGUGUUUAACCCACCAUUUAGGUUGCUUGCCCCCCCAC
rnacentral:lncRNA from 1 species